UACGUAGGGGGCAAGCGUUGUCCGGAAUCAUUGGGCGUAAAGAGCGUGUAGGCGGCCCGGUAAGUCCGCCGUGAAAGUCCAGGGCUCAACCCUGGAAUGCCGGUGGAAACUGCCGGGCUGGAGUCCGGAAGAGGCGAGUGGAAUUCCUGGUGUAGCGGUGAAAUGCGCAGAUAUCAGGAGGAACACCAAUGGCGAAGACAGCUCGCUGGGACGGUACUGACGCUGAGACGCGAAAGCGUGGGGAGCAAACAGG
rnacentral:rRNA from 1 species